GUGUCAGCAGCCGCGGUAAUACGUAGGCAGCGAGCGUUGUUCGGAGUUACUGGGCGUAAAGCGUGCGUAGGCGGUUGUCUAAGUUUGGUGUGAAAUCUCCUGGCUUAACUGGGAGGGUGCGCCGAAAACUGGGUGACUGGAGUGUCGGAGAGGUAAGCGGAAUUCCUGGUGUAGCGGUGAAAUGCGUAGAGAUCAGGAGGAACACCUGUGGUGUAGACAGCUUACUGGACGAUAACUGACGCUGAGGCACGAAAGCGUGGGUAGCAAACAGGAUUAGAAACCCGCGUAGUCC
rnacentral:rRNA from 1 species